AAGCUGAUACAUCUAAGACUGCUAAUUUGUGUGCGGGUCUAACGUAUUAUUGAGACAAUUCGUCCUUUUGGCGUGUUAUUCGUGUUAUAGGGUCAGCCAGUCCGUCGUUCAGGGGCACGUAGGGCGCUUGGGGAACACGAACUGAUUCAGUACCUUCUUCACGGAA